AGCACUUGGAGAUUUGUUUGUUCUCUGUUUCAGUGUUUUAUUUGUGCCCACUUUCUAGUCUGUGGUGUGUUCUUUUAAAAUCUGUUCUCACAGGAAGUACAUCUCGCGCCUUGUUUACUGCAGUUGCCCUUCUCUGAACUUUCUCAAGCUCCAUUACAACUGCCUUGAAGGGAAGUGACCUGGAAUUGUUCAAGCGAUGUCCUCCCUCCGGGCAGAAAGCCGGACUGAAUAAUUUAUUCAGGUCAAUCACUCAAUGUGGCCUCUCACUAGUAAGAUUAGCAGUGGAUUUUGUAUGCUUAGGGGCCAUGAUGAGAUUAAAUUAAGCACAAGAGAAAAUGAUGCAAUCAAGAGAUGUGGUAAACACGAGACGUAUGAGGCUGCCGCUGACGUAAUACAGCAUCCUGUUUUACAGUAAACUUUCUUUUUUGUGAAGAUGGUGAGGCCUCCAGGGGUUAAGUGAUUUGCCAAGAGAUGCAUAGCUGGCAGCAGAGCCAGGAUUAGAACUCAGUCUCCCGGUUGCUAAGUCUGCGUGUUCCUUAUCCUAGACACCCAUGGAAAAUGAUCCACAUCAACUCUAUACACACCAAAGCCUUUAGUUCGUUUCUUUGUACGUAGUAGGUCUCAGUAAAUAGACAGAGGAUGAAUGGUGCAUAUUACAGGCAAGAGAGACC
rnacentral:lncRNA from 1 species